rnacentral:rRNA from 1 species
CAGUAGCCGCGGGAAUACAGAGGGUGCGAGCGUUAAUCGGAUUUACUGGGCGUAAAGCGUGCGUAGGCGGCUAAUUGAGUCGGAUGUGAAAUCCCUGAGCUUAACUUAGGAAUUGCAUUCGAUACUGGGAAGCUAGAGUAUGGGAGAGGAUGGUAGAAUUCCAGGUGUAGCGGUGAAAUGCGUAGAGAUCUGGAGGAAUACCGAUGGCGAAGGCAGCCAUCUGGCCUAAUACUGACGCUGAGGUACGAAAGCAUGGGGAGCAAACAGGAUUAGAGACCCCUGUAGUCCCUGUCUCUUAUAC